rnacentral:rRNA from 1 species
CUAUCUGUCGUGGGCGAAGGAUAUUUGAAAGGAGCUGUCCCUAGUACGAGAGGACCGGGAUGGACGCACCUCUGGUGCACCAGUUGUCACGCCAGUGGCACAGCUGGGCAGCUAUGUGCGGAACGGAUAAACGCUGAAGGCAUCUAAGCGUGAAGCCGGCCUUAAGAUAAGAUAUCCCACUGAGUAAUCAGGUAAGACCCCUUGAAGACUACAAGGUUGAUAGGCUCAAAGUGUAAGCGUCGUGAGGCGUUAAGCUAGCGAGUACUAAUCGGUCGAGGGCUUGACCAUAA